AUUGAACGCUGGCGGCAGGCUUAACACAUGCAAGUCGAGCGGGGAAGGGUAGCUUGCUACCUAACCUAGCGGCGGACGGGUGAGUAAUGCUUAGGAAUCUGCCUAUUAGUGGGGGACAACAUUCCGAAAGGAAUGCUAAUACCGCAUACGCCCUACGGAGGAAAGCAGGGGAUCGUCGGACCUUGCGCUAAUAGAUGAGCCUAAGUCAGAUUAGCUAGUUGGUGGGGUAAAGGCCUACCAAGGCGACGAUCUGUAGCGGGUCUGAGAGGAUGAUCCGCCACACUGGGACUGAGACACGGCCCAGACUCCUACGGGAGGCAGCAGUGGGGAAUAUUGGACAAUGGGCGCAAGCCUGAUCCAGCCAUGCCGCGUGUGUGAAGAAGGCCUUUUGGUUGUAAAGCACUUUAAGCGAGGAGGAGGCUGCCGAGAUUAAUACUCUUGGAUAGUGGACGUUACUCGCAGAAUAAGCACCGGCUAACUCUGUGCCAGCCGCCGCAGUAA
rnacentral:rRNA from 1 species